UACGUAGGGGGCUAGCGUUGUCCGGAUUUAUUGGGCGUAAAGCGCGUGUAGGCGGUCCGGUAAGUCCGCUGUGAAAGUCGGGGGGCUCAACCCUCGGAUGCCGGUGGAUACUGUCGGACUAGAGUUCGGAAGAGGCGAGUGGAAUUCCCGGUGUAGGCGGUGAAAUGCGCAGAUAUCGGGAAGAACACCCGUGGCGAAGGCGGUUCUCUGGGACGGUACUGACGCUGAGACGCGAAAGCGUGGGGAGCGAACAGG
rnacentral:rRNA from 1 species